ACGCUGGCGGCAUGCUUUACACAUGCAAGUCGGACGGCAGCACAGAGAAGCUUGCUUCUUGGGUGGCGAGUGGCGAACGGGUGAGUAAUAUAUCGGAACGUACCGAGUAAUGGGGGAUAACUAAUCGAAAGAUUAGCUAAUACCGCAUAUUCUCUGAGGAGGAAAGCAGGGGACCUUCGGGCCUUGCGUUAUUCGAGCGGCCGAUAUCUGAUUAGCUAGUUGGUGGGGUAAAGGCCUACCAAGGCGACGAUCAGUAGCGGGUCUGAGAGGAUGAUCCGCCACACUGGGACUGAGACACGGCCCAGACUCCUACGGGAGGCAGCAGUGGGGAAUUUUGGACAAUGGGCGCAAGCCUGAUCCAGCCAUGCCGCGUGUCUGAAGAAGGCCUUCGGGUUGUAAAGGACUUUUGUCAGGGAAGAAAAGGCUGUUGCUAAUACCGACAGCUGAUGACGGUACCUGAAGAAUAAGCACCGGCUAACUACGUGCCAGCAGCCGCGGUAAUACGUAGGGUGCGAGCGUUGAUCGGAAUUACUGGGCGUAAAGCGAGCGCAGACGGUUACUUAAGCAGGAUGUGAAAUCCCCGGGCUCAACCUGGGAACUGCGUUCUGAACUGGGUGACUAGAGUGUGUCAGAGGGAGGUAGAAUUCCACGUGUAGCAGUGAAAUGCGUAGAGAUGUGGAGGAAUACCGAUGGCGAAGGCAGCCUCCUGGGAUAACACUGACGUUCAUGCUCGAAAGCGUGGGUAGCAAACAGGAUUAGAUACCCUGGUAGUCCACGCCCUAAACGAUGUCAAUUAGCUGUUGGGCAACUUGAUUGCUUAGUAGCGUAGCUAACGCGUGAAAUUGACCGCCUGGGGAGUACGGUCGCAAGAUUAAAACUCAAAGGAAUUGACGGGGACCCGCACAAGCGGUGGAUGAUGU
rnacentral:rRNA from 1 species